AGGUAUCAGUGGAUUUUUCCUCCAUGGGACCUUCUCUCUGCCUGAGGAUCAAUCUGGUAUCAGUGGAUUUUUCCUUCGUGGGACCUUCUCUCUUCCUGAGGAUCAAUCUGUUGUCUCCCCUCCUUGUGCUGCAAUUACAUAUUACCACAUAGCUGAACCCUGGAACGAAUUUCAUUUAGCGCACACCUGUGAUCACCUUACCUGUGCACCAUCCAUCAGCCUAGCAUCUCUGUGCCGACUUCUAUCACAGUGAGGCUUCAAGUACUUCCAACAGCUGCCUUGUCUUUAAAAAAAAUAUGUAUUUAUCUGCCAGUGAAUUCUCUCCAUCCUCAGAAAGAGGAAUUUCUAUCCCAAUUUGAACAGCUCCAAGGCACAAGAUGAGAUAUAGUCAGUCCUGAGCCAGCGACAGGUUAAAAUUUCUCUUGCAACUCUCUAGAGCUAGGAAUGGGAGAAUUAUGAUUCAAAUAUUCUGCUGUAUAUAGGUGCUUAUACAGUGCUCAUCAGCAUAGUAUCUGUACACAUCUUAUGUGCCUGAUACUCAAUUUCUGAACACCCACAAAUGCAAGUGAAGACAAGAAGAAUUAGAUGUUCUCAGAUGUUAGGACAUGCAUAUGUUUUUUAUAUAAAAAACAGCCACAUAUCAAAAUUGUGUGUGUAUGCAUAUGCAUUUAGUUUGCAAGUUUUAUUUUGAAUGCCCAUGUUAUGACAGAAUCACAAUGCAGAAGCUGUUUGAAUGAAACUUUUUAAGAAUAGUUUAAAUGAUUCUGCGUACGUUAGAGACAUUAAAAACCACAGAUGGAGGCUACAGUUCUUUCUAAUUAUAAAUGUUCAGAGCAUGCAUAGUAUACACGAACAAUGUACUUGCUUCCCUUUUAAUGUGUUAAACAUAAUUGUAAUUGGUAUAUGAGUUGGUUUGUUAAGGGAAACAAAAAAGCAAUCCAAGCCAAAGCAUCCCACCUACAUUGUUAAUUAGCUGCAAUAUGCAUAAACCUCUCUAUUUUUCUCCUUUUUGAAAAAAGUACAUGUUAUCACAUUGAAUAAAAAAGAAAAUGGAUUAUGUUUUUUUCCCCCCUCUUUUUCCCUUUUUUCCCUUGUUUGGUCCUUUUACUACAUUUAUAAAUUGAAAGCCUGUAAAUCUCAGGUAUUUAAAAAAAUUGUGAUCCUGAUUCUGAAAAUACUUAUGCAUGGGUCAGCUACAAAGCCAAUGACAACAUCCCCCCUGACUUCAGCCCACUAUGGACGCCUGAGCUGCCAACUCUUAUGAUGAGAUAUGAGAUAGUUGGAAGCAAGCCAUUUCAUGAACAUCUCAGCUUCUAUUUAAAAAUAAAAAAGGGGUUUCUAGCCUCCAUGACAGGGAAGAAAAACAUGAAAUAUGACCUGAAUGCACCCUAAAGGCUUAGAAGCCAGAAGGCAAAUGAAACUACCCACCUUUUACUUUAUUAUUUUUCUUAAGCCUCUUGUGAUCUUCAGGGGGGACCUGGCUCAUAAUUCCUAAAUAUUUGAUACUGCCUCAAGCUACAUGUUCUUAUCUUUGAAGCUGUGAUUAUUCCCACUGAAGUCAACAGAACUAUUCACAUGCUUAAAAUUAGUGCUGUGCUUACGUGUUCACUUGAGCGAGGCCUACACAACGAAAUACUACUUAGGGCUUGAUCCAAAAGUCAGUUGAAGUGGACGACUUAGGAUGAAUGCCUAAAUGAUGGUGCAAGAAAUUUUUGGAAUAGAUGGAUUUUAAUAUGCUAAUUGAACUGCAGAUUGUAUCAGAAUAAUGCAAAGAUGGGAGGCAUCACAGUUUGUAUUAAAAUUAAAAAUUAUUGAAUGUU